GUGUGUGCCAGUGCUCGCGCCGCUGGCCUGGCAGCCAUACUGGUCAUGGGAUCUUGAACUGCUUCACGCUGGCUGGCACGUGGCUGCUGCCUCACACCCCCCCACCCCCCCAAUCCAGCCACUAAGAGUCACGCUCAGCACAUACAGGACCUCCAGGGCACCAUCCUCCUAAAAAUUCUGAUUGUUCAGGGAUCAGGCUAGUUGUUAAAUAGAUUCUGUGUCACUGCUGUUCCAAGGUGUGACCAGCUUAUGCAGGCUUAUCGCCUCACCUGUGGGUGGAAACGAGGGGAGUGUCACCAGGAGCUGCUUCCUGCCUUGCCGUCUGUUAAGUCGGCAGCCAGGGGGCUGUGAGGGGUGCCUUCCUUGAACAGGCAACUCUGAACAUGAGCCUCUCUCUGUGCUCCCGAAGGCCUGGUCCUCAGCGAGAAGCUUGGUUGUGAACAGUUCUAGAGCGAGCGACCUCCAUCUGUCAGGAUCUAAAUUAGGGACGUCACCAAGGGCAGGCACGCACUGGAAGGCGUCUCUUCUCUGUGCCAGCGUGACUUUGGCGGUUGACACCCUCUGAGGACUCUCGAAGCCCAGCGUGUACACGGGGAUGUGUGCAAACUUCUUAGAUGGCAUCUUCAUCUGCAACACAGAGAGACACUCCAGGCACCCUGGUCCCCCCGAACAGCCGCCAACCCACAAGACGGAGCGUUGCGGCCUGUACGUCAUCAGCACUUAACAUUGACGAGGUGGUCUCUCUACGGCCAAGUGGCAGCACAAAAAGAACUGCAGACAGCUCUGGAGAGAAAAGAAGAGGGUUAGCAGUGUCCGCUGUGAGGGGUCCAGCACCCGCCCAGCACACAGGCGAGGCCAGGCUGUCACUGCCUCCUGCUUGACCCCUGGCCACGAACUUCUCCAUCUCGGCCUUCACCAGCACACGGCGCACGUCCAUCACCUCCUCCACCGUCAGAGCCAGGCUUUCCACGGGGUGGCUGAACUCCUGUGGCAGGAGGCCCGAGGGGCCGGUCUCAGGCUCUCAGGGUGUCUCCAUAAGUUCCCCUCUUCCCUGAGGACCCUGGCACCUCCCUGGCCUUGGUCCACCAAGCCCAGCAGCUCCAUAAAAUGGCCCGCUCCUCAGCUCGGCCACGCCAGGGAGCCGUACUGCUCCCUAGGACUUCUCUGUGCACGGCUACAGGUAAGGGUUCUCUGACCGGCCCCGCCCACCCCACCGGCCAGCCCCCGGCCCGUCGAUGGCCUCGUUGCACAUGUAACCCUUCAGCCCGUCCCACCUUCGUUCGCAGUGCUCCCAGACCUGAAGCAUCUGCCUCCAGCCUUGCUCCCCACCUGCCAACACCAGGCCAGUCAAAGCCAGCCAGAGUCCCCAGGCCCACUGCCCCACCUCCUGGAACCCUCCCCCGCCCCCACCUCCCUCCCAGCACCAACCAUCCACUGCGACUCCGGGUCUGCCAGUCAGGUGGUUGCACCUAUCCACCUCGUCAUAACCGCCCGGCCCUUUGGGCCACCAUGGCGAGUACACCCUGUCCUAGCCCCCAGGGGAACAGUCCUGUGUUCUUAGCACAGAACUCCAUCUCUCAAAUCGUCAGUUCCUCUUCUAUAAAGCGGGGCAUUUCAGCUCCACUGAGAGGACGCAGUGCCUGGCGCCCGGAACUGAAACGUUAGCUACCAAGAUGAGGCGGCAUGGGAGGCACCAGAGGCUGGUGGGAGUUGGACAGUGUUUAUGGGUCAGACUUUCAGGAUUGUCCUAUUUAGGCUUGUUGGUCAGCUGCUACUGUGUGGCAUCGGGUGAGUCUGGGACCCCGUGUUCUUCUCUGACCAGAAGCGUCCAGGUCUUCUGGCUUCUGAUUUCUGUUUCUAGUAGCCUGGUGGUGCUGUUUAUAUUUGAACAAUUCCCCUCUAAACCUUACAGAAGUUACACUAACUGCACACAUUGCCGAGAGAUCUCAAGCUGGGUGCUGGGCAGAUUGGGCUGAGCACAUACUCAGGGCAGAGGCAAGGCCACUCAAGUUCUCGGGUUUGAGAGCCAAGCUGCUCGGAAGAGAAACACGUAUGGGACUUGCUAUUCAAACACAUCCCCCGAAUCCUUGACAUCCCUGCUGUCAAGAAGUGGCCCCCUGAGUAGGGCUCAGUGACUCAUUUGUACUGAACGGAUGAGUUAGAAGUGACAGUGUGUCCCCUCCGAGACUGGGUCAUAAAGACACUGGCUUCUUCCUGGCUCUCGGAUCGCUCACCCCGGGGGGAGCCAUGUUGUGAGGGCACUCAGGCAGCCCCGGGGAGAGGCCACACGGGAGGAGCUGAGGCCUCCUGCCCACAGCCGGGGGAGGAGCCUCCUUGGAGGCGGGUGGAGCCUUCAGGUGAGACGGGAGCCCUGCCGACACUCCAGCUGCAGCCUCACUCGAGUCCGAGCCAGGGCCACCGGGCCGAGCCACUUCUGGGUUCUGGACCCACAGAAACUGUGAGAUAAUAAAUGUGUUGUUGUA